rnacentral:tRNA from 3 species
UAUGUAGUGGACUAAUUGGUAAGUCAUAAAUUUUUGAUAUUUAUUAUUGAGUGUUCGAACCACUCCUGCAUAA